rnacentral:lncRNA from 1 species
CUGGUCCAUCUUGGGAAAAGUCGUCUAUUCAGAUGCUAUCUUCUUCAAAUCCCAGGCAUUUUUAAUUUCAAUUUGUUGACAGGAAUGCAGGUCCACAAAGAAGCUGAUGUUUUCUGUAGAUGAGAUACCAGAAUCAUUCUUUAAAUAUGAGCCAUGUGUAAACAAAGACAAUGCAGCGUUGUCCAGGGAAUUUCCCUGUAGAUUCUCCCAUUGAGUUAAAAGAUCAGAGUUAAGCAGGCAUGUGGUGUCUCAUCUGAAA